rnacentral:rRNA from 1 species
UACGUAGGGCGCAAGCGUUAUCCGGAAUUAUUGGGCGUAAAGAGCUCGUAGGCGGUUUGUCGCGUCUGCCGUGAAAGUCCGGGGCUCACCUCCGGAUCUGCGGUGGGUACGGGCAGACUAGAGUGAUGUAGGGGAGACUGGAAUUCCUGGUGUAGCGGUGAAAUGCGCAGAUAUCAGGAGGAACACCGCUGGCGAAGGCAGGUCUCUGGGCAUUAACUGACGCUUAGGAGCGAACGCAUGUGGCGCGAA